UUGGUUAGAUUUUGUGUUACACUGCUCCUGGGUCAGAUGUAACAACCCAAUGUUUGGGCAGUUUUUGUGUUACCCAGCUACUGGGUCAGACAAAACAUUUGAUGCAUGUAAACCUAUAGGGGCACUUUAAGAACUAUGAAAACCCUCUUCUGAAAUGCUUUUGGGGAAUUUGUUUUUAUUAUUAUUUAAAGCUGAUGCAUAAUGUUUACAUGAGAUGUUUUAAGAUUUUUGUUUUUGUCUUAGUAAACAUCACUAAUCACAGUAAAAGUGAAACUAUACAAUAUCCUGACCGACCUGAUGGAUGACAUCACCUCAUUAGCCACAUGUGCUGUUUUCAGGCGAAUAAAUGUUUUACUCUCUAACUGUGAUUAAUGGCAGCGAGAGACAUUAAAAUAAUGAUUAUACAGCACGUGGUGUUUCUGCCUCUCCGGUGCAGCUGCUCUCAUGGACUCUCAAUGCUUAUCAAGGACCAAAUCUUCUCCGAGCAAUUCAGGGCCACUGCGGACCGCGGUAAAUCACCACGAAAUGGAGUAUAGAGAUUGAGGGGGCGCUGUAGAGCCCCAUGUACCAGCUUUGGCCCGGCUCUAAUGGCUGCGGAUUCUGACCUGUGUGCAAAUUUUCAAGAGUUUUUGAGCAUGCUAAAGGUCCCAAAACCUUGACAAAUAGAAUCCUAAAGAGAAGAAUAAUAAAGAUGAGUCUGAAUGAAAUAAAUAAAUUGUCUGUGGUAAUCGACAUUAUGCCACAGAUGCUGAAGAGCUGAACCUGGGACAUUCCUGUGAAAAAUACGAGCUGCAAAAUAUGAGCCACUAAAAAGUAAUAUAAAUGGAGGUGUAGCAAAAAUGAAGCACAUCCAUCAGAGGUCAUCCGUCAGCAGGUGCAGACGGCCUAAUAACCUUCAACCCCUCACGGAUCUCAGGCCCAGCACCCCGCCGGGCGUCUGCCCAGGUCUCUCCUCUCACCGACUGACAUCUAGACAUCAGUAAUGAAGACGGAUGGACUGAACGCCGCGCGGCAGACAGACUCCUCCCUGUACGGCCGUCUGCCAACAUCCAUCAGUCGCUCUCUGAUGAGCAUCACAACUCAAGCUGCACACGAGGCCGAGCGAUGAGAUCUUCACUGAGCUCUAGUGGGGAAAUGGCAAGUGUGUUGUAUAAUUCAACCUCCAGAUCGAUACCAUCUCUCAGUUCCCCUCCGUUUAGCCUCAGAAUUCACAGCUGCUCAAUGCAGUUGAUUUCUGCUUUCUCUCAAAAACAAGAGACCCUGAUCGCAACCUAAAUUUACGUCUCUCAGGAUACCUGUCGGCCCCCAAACUCCCUGAUCCUCAUAACUGCAACAACCUUGAAGAUUCUCGAGCUCUCAAACAGACUCAACGCAUCAGCAUUACAGAGCUGCCAAUCAAGUAAAGCAUACACUGACUACAGCAUAAUCAGUUAUUAAUAUUUUGUUGGUUCUCUCUUAAUUCAUAAUGUCUGGCCAUAAAUGAUGUUGGCAUAAUUUACCAUGAUUCACUGCAUUAUCAUUAAGCCAAUAUACUGUCCGUUUUGUUCAGUUUGUCAUUCAUUUUGAGCCACAAAAAUGUCGAGUCAAAAACAGGUCAAAUUUUCCAAAGCGUCUUCUUCAGACCCAUUAAAUUCAUGCAUAUCCGAAGCGACCUACAUUACAUUCAAGCAUAUAUUUGAUCACACAUUUCCUGGAAAUCGAAUCCAUGACCUUGAUGUUGCUAUUGCUGGACUGUUGGAGCUACAGAGACGAGUGUGUGAACGGCUUCUCAUUCAUUCUGUGCUGUCUGACGGCAGGAACACUUCUGAUUAUGUACGGGUCAGGGGCAUCAUCAUGUUUAUAAUGCUUAAUUAAACUUUAAUGCUUUAUUAUAAUAAAUUAACACAUUAAAUCGACAGGCCUAAUUGUAAUGUAAAACUGUCAAGAUGAUAUUGAGAUUAUAUUGCAUUCACAUGCAAUCCUGCUUGAUGAGGAAUAAUGUAGUCAGAAUAAAAUAAACUUUACAUAAAAUAAAAAUAUAUUGGAUCAUUAGUGGAGUAUUAAACAGCUAAAUAAAAAAAUAAAAUAGAUGAAUAAAUAAAUAAAUAAAUAAUGGGAUCAUAAGAGGAACAUUAAACGGCCAAAUAAAAAAAAAAAAUGAAUAAAUAAGUAUCUGUUCAUUAGUGGAUUAUUACAUGGCUACUAAAAUAAAUAAAUAACUAUGAAUAAAAAAACAAAUAAAUAAAUAGUGGGUCAUUAGUGGGUUAAUGGCUACUAAAAUAAAUAAAAAAUAAAUAAAUAUUGAAUGAUUAAUGGUUUAUUACAUGGCUACUAAAAUAAAUAUAUAACUUUAAAUAAAUAAAUAAAAUAUUCGAUAAUUAGUGGAUUAUUACAUGGCUACUAAAAUAAAUAAAUAA